UACAGAGGUCUCAAGCGUUGUUCGGAUUCAUUGGGCGUAAAGGGUGCGUAGGCGGCGCGGUAAGUCGGGUGUGAAAUCUCGGGGCUUAACUCCGAAACUGCAUUCGAUACUGCCGUGCUUGAGGACUGGAGAGGAGACUGGAAUUUGACGGUGUACCGGUGAAAUGCGUAGAUAUCGUAAGGAAGACCAGUGGCGAAGGCGGGUCUCUG
rnacentral:rRNA from 1 species